UGGGGAAUUUUGGACAAUGGGCGAAAGCCUGAUCCAGCAAUGCCGCGUGUGUGAAGAAGGCCUUCGGGUUGUAAAGCACUUUUGUCCGGAAAGAAAUCCUUGGCUCUAAUACAGUCGGGGGAUGACGGUACCGGAAGAAUAAGCACCGGCUAACUACGUGCCAGCAGCCGCGGUAAUACGUAGGGUGCAAGCGUUAAUCGGAAUUACUGGGCGUAAAGCGUGCGCAGGCGGUUUGCUAAGACCGAUGUGAAAUCCCCGGGCUCAACCUGGGAACUGCAUUGGUGACUGGCAGGCUAGAGUAUGGCAGAGGGGGGUAGAAUUCCACGUGUAGCAGUGAAAUGCGUAGAGAUGUGGAGGAAUACCGAUGGCGAAGGCAGCCCCCUGGGGCCAAAUACUGACGCUCAUGCACGAAAGCGUGGGGAGCAAACAGGAUUAGAUACCCUGGUAGUCCACGCCCUAAACGAUGUCAACUAGUUGUUGGGGAUUCAUUUCCUUAGUAACGUAGCUAACGCGUGAAGUUGACCGCCUGGGGAGUACGGUCGCAAGAUUAAAACUCAAAGGAAUUGACGGGG
rnacentral:rRNA from 1 species